rnacentral:misc_RNA from 1 species
GACUCUCGGCAACGGAUAUCUCGGCUCUCGCAUCGAUGAAGAACGUAGCGAAAUGCGAUACUUGGUGUGAAUUGCAGAAUCCCGUGAACCAUCGAGUCUUUGAACGCAAGUUGCGCCCAAGGCCGUCAGGCUGAGGGCACGCCUGCCUGGGCGUCACGCAUCGAGUCGCCCCACACCAAAGCGUGCGAGGGCGGAGAUUGGCCCCCCGUGCCCCUGCAGCGCGGUCGGCCCAAAUGAUGGCCCCUGAUGGCCGGCGUCACGGUAUGAUGUGGUAGAACACAACAGCUCCCUGAAAACGGCAGCCGUGCCCGCCGCGCAGCCAAGGGCCGCACGAACCCUGAAGGGCCGUUGCUACGGCGCCUACUCU